rnacentral:sRNA from 1 species
CCCCAUCACACCCACCGCUCCUCCCAGGCCCCGCCCCAGCGGCGGCAUUCCCGCCUCCCAAGCCCCGCCCUCUCCUGUCUGAUCCAGCCCCUCAGACCUGCCGCUCCUCUCAGGCCACGCCCAUCAACUUUAAUCCUUCUCCUCCGGCCACGCCUCCUCAAGGCCCAGUCCUUCUUCAGGUUGUGCUGACUCCGCCUCUCCCUCGAAAGCCGCAAGACCUCAGGGCAAUAUGAUGAAGGAGUAGAACUGAUCAUCAAGAUAAAUGAAAAUUCCUCUUCAUCUGCUCAACCUUGUCCCCCUCAUCCAUCAGAGACCUACAGCGGACUGCUUCUCAGGUCUGGGGACCAUGCCACAUUCCCGGGACUACAUCAUCAAAACCAGAUAGAGUCACUGCCUCAUUGAACUUGACAUCUAGACACUGGUACAACGGAAUAGACACUAUAUUUACAGAGUCCCCCGCUGGCCUGAAGUGCACCUGGAGUUUGCCAAGUCCUCUGGUCUGGCUGCUCUGAAGGCGUCUGCCUGCCGCUUCCUCUUCAACAUUAGGAUUCUGAUCAUGUGCUACCAUGCCUGGCUGCCUUCACAUGUAUUCUGGGACCAAACCCAUGCCACCAUGCUUGUCCAGCUAGCACAUCGCUGUCAGAACUGUCUUCCUGUCUCUGCAAAUUGCAGUCUUUUUAGUAACUGCAUCCUGAUGCUAAAAUGAUACAAGGAGGCUAACUUAAUCAUAUAGUCUGCUCACUUAAUAUAUCCCCGAAUUAGUAUUAUAUCAUUUAAUCAGCGUAAGUAUUACUGCUGGCUUACUUUGUAUUCUUUUGACUCACACUACUUUCAGAACUCUUUGUAGAUGUUAUACAUGGGACAGGUAGCAUAUCUCCAUUUGGACUAGUGGCACGUCGGCCUCUCAGGACUGCACGUGACCCUGACAGAACACAGCUCUGGAAGACUUCACAGUUUUGCUUUUCCAUGCCUAAGUUGCUUUCUUCUAACCCUGGGAGGCUGAAGCUGCAGAGCACUGUCCUUAUCCACUAUCCACAGAAUGCUGUCAAACACUGAGGUAGAACCCCAAGGAUAAUAGCCCAGCAGAAAGUCACGAGUUCACACUCCCCAAGGGGCUGACAGUGGCAGUCUGGGCGUACCUGAGGCUACUACACAGACUGUUAUCUCCCAUCCCUGGCCACACUCGAACCAAUUAGGGAUCCACCAGGGGAUACCCUGGGACCGUGCCACUUAGCUAAAUGUAGUUGUUGGCAAUAGGAAAAUAAGUCAUGUUUUGAUAAAAGCUGUUUCGGCACUGCACACUUUCCAUGACACUGUUUGUCAUGUUUCCUUGACACUUGGUGGUGACUCCAUUACACAGCUCUUCUCAGAGUCACGCUGUCUGGGAGUCGUAUGGCUCAGACUGUGUUUGGUGGAUGAACAAAUACAGAAAUGGUAGGUUUGAACUAUGACUCAGGUGAGGAAAGUGUAGGUUUAUGUCCUGACAUUGUCUCUUUCUCCAGUGACACACAGCCAGACUAAUGCUUUCUCGGAUGUCUUCCUAUCGGGAGGAAUCUGCAAGCAUGUUUUUGUGUUUAAUAAGAGUGUCACAUGGCAGGCUAUCUCUUCCUCAUAAUGUACAGUUCAAAGGUCAACAAAAACAGAUCUUAACAGGGCUGGGGAGAUGGCUCAGGGGGCUUGCCACACUGGCAUAAAGAUCUGAGUUUGUUAGCCCCAGCGCCCACACAGAAGCCUCAUGCAAGCAGAACUCAUCUAUAACCACAGUGCCGGAAUAGGCAGCGACAGCCACAUCCUAGGAAUUUGCUGGCAGCUGGCCUAGCCAAUCAGCAAGCCCAGGUGCAGUGACAUGCUCUGUCCCAAAAUAAGGGUAAGAGAAGACCACUGGGCUCCACAGGUGCACACAUGAUUGUAUGCAUCAGCACACACACACACACACACACACACACACACACACACACACACACACACACACGUGCACACAAAUAUCAAAAGCAAACUUUGACUCUCAGAGCCUAAAGUGGAUACAGAACAGUGAGAUAUGCUUUGUGGGGGAACCGCCAUUAGGGGCAAGUGUCCUCUUUGUCCAUGCCAAGAGACUGUGCAUACAUGUGUCUAUAGCACAGUCAUUUUCUAUGCCUUGUUCCCCCUGCCUAACAGAAUCUUCCAAGUUCAAAGAGAGAUGAUUCAGGACAUCCCUGGCAUGCUUUGUGGAAGUCUGCCUGGCCUCUAGGGACCUCCAAAGCUCAGGCUGAGACAGGAUGUGUCCACCUGGAGUCUCUGAGGAGUCGAAGUUGAGAAUUUUGGUAGGGAACUAGAGAAAGUUGGGAUUCCCUCAGACUGCUAUGUAGAGAAGACCUCAGAUAUGACAUGGCAAUCCCCUGGUUGUCAGGAGGGGUUGGAGCUCUCUCAAAGAGCACCUUGGUGCUAACCAUUUCCCAAGCUCAUGCUCAGGUUGUCUCAGAGAGAAUUUGCAUGGCCCCUCCUCCCUUCACACAUGCAUAGAGCAAGCAUUCUCCACCAUGGUAUAAGAUGCCCUGGCAUUGGCUUCCAGCCUUGAUCUAUAAUGAUUUAUAGCCACACGAUCCUACAUGAAUCAAUGAAUGUCUGUUUCUAUUGCUAUAACUGAAUGUCAGGCUCAGACUAGGCAAUUUAUUAAAAAACAUCCAAAAGUUUAUUCUGCCCAUGCUUCUGGAGGGUGGGAAGUAGGAGGGCUGGUUCUGGUCAGGACCUUUGCUGGUGGGAACUUUGCAGAGAAGCACAAGGUGUCUCGUGUAUGUCAGGAAGCUGCUCUUGUGGUCUGCAGUCCAGUGUGGACACAGCAAUGAGUAUGAGGGCACACAGGGGUCACAGGCUCCUAGGACAGGGUUAGCAGGUGUACCCCAGAGGCCCUGGUCUGGCGUUUCCAACCAAUCGGUUCUUGAGGUAUCCCGCUGACGUGUCGAUCCACAAACUCUCCAUUGGCAUCAUUUCUUAGUAGCUUUUGAUGGGGAUUGAAUUUCAGCAUGUGUUUUGGUGGGCAUAUUCAAUGCAUGGCACCAAAUCUCUGAGCCUACGUCUCUUCGUUUUAAAACAGUAAUUGUCUUACAGUGUUGUGUAGAGUGAAAUGACCUCAUAUGAUAAUAUUUUAUACAACGUAAGCUUCCCCUACCCCCAGUGCUAGGCUUCAACCCCAGGACCUUGAACAUGUUAGGCAAGCACUCUAUUAGUGAGCUAUGUUCCCAGCACCACAGCGCACAAUUAUUAAUGGCAUGAUUAAAUUAUUAAAUGAGAACAAUUCCAGUGUUUUGCU